CACAAGGCUAUAAGUAUUUUAGAGACAAAAGUUAUGUUGAGAGUUACAUGAGAUGUAAUUGCUAAAGAGUUACCUACCUUUGAACUCAUAGGAGCUUGUUGUGCUAUCCAUUAGGCUUUUUAUGAGAAAUUAGAAUCUCAAUCCCACUAAGGAACUAGAUGAUAUGUUUUCUCGAUUUCAUACUUGAGGACUAUAAAAUUUGCUAAAAU
rnacentral:lncRNA from 1 species